CCUACGGGAGGCAGCAGUCGGGAAUAUUGCACAAUGGAGGAAACUCUGACGCAGUGACGCCGCGUGCGCGAAGAAGGUUUUCGGAUUGUAAACUGCUUUAAGCAGGGAAGAAAAAAGACAGUACCUGUAGAAUAAGCUCCGGCUAACUACGUGCCAGCAGCGGCGGUAAUACGUAGGGGGCAAGCGUUAUCCGGAUUUCUUGGGUGUAAAGGGUGCGUAGACGGAGAGGCAAGUUAGUUGUGAAAUCCCUGGGCUUAACUGAGGAACUGCAACUAAAACUGCUAACCUUGAGUACUGGAGAGGAAGGUGGAAUUCCUAGUGUAGCGGUGAAAUGCGUAGAUAUUAGGAGGAACACCAGUGGCGAAGGCGACUUUCUGGACAGUAACUGACGUUGAGGCACGAAAGUGUGGGGAGCAAACAGGAUUAGAUACCCUAGUAGUC
rnacentral:rRNA from 1 species